AAAUGUUGAAUGACUAUUCAUCUCAUUUUUUUCCAUUUGAAAUGAUUAGGUUGGAAAAUUGAUUCAACCCAUUCGAGUAAAAAAAAUUGAAAAAAUAAACAAAUUUUAAAGGAAAAUUGUUCAACCCUUUCGUCUACUAUUUUGCAGAGGAAUGAGUUAAAUAAUGUUCAACUUUGUUUUGUUCAACUCAAAAUUUUCCAAUCAUUCAACUAUAUGUCAUCCAUUUGGAGCCAUUAUGUUAUUGGUUCAUGACUUUUUACAUUUUUCUUCAUAAAAUAAAGACAUAGAAAAUCAUGAAAAGUAUUAUCGAAAUAAAGAGAUUAUUUGAAAAACUUUACAAGAUUAUGAAAAACUAAUCAACAAGAUUAUAAAAAACUCUCUAAUAAUACUUUAGAAUCUUUCAUUUAUUUACUUUUUAGGAUUUGAUUGAGGGUAUCAAAAUUCCUUGUAAACUAGGAACUGAUAACACCUCCUUAAUCAUAAGUUUAGAUAACAAAUAAAAAAUAUGAAAUAUAAUUAUGUUUUAUUUUAAUUAAUUUUAGGAGAUAUAUGAUGGAUCAUAGGCUCUUACAUUGAAAUAUAUUCUCAAUGUGGCUACAAAAUUACUAUGAACAAGGCUACUGUGGUGACGACUAUAAUUUGAGAGGAGAAAUAAUCUUUGGGGAUGUUGAUCAGAAUCACUUUGUCGAUGAGCAUAUAUACUUCAACCUCAUUGAAGGUAAUAGAUGGAUCAAAUGGAUGCCUUCCAGCCAAGUCGACGGAUAUCAUGGUAAUAAUUAAUUACAAGAAUGAGUGUAUCUAUAUAUGUGUGUUUUUAGUACAUGAGAUUUACUUCUUUUUUACUCUUUUUUUUCUAGGAUCACUCACCCAUAAAGCUUUAAUCUAUACAUAAUGUCUGCAUAUAUACGGUCCUCCGGUUAGUAAAGGAUUUAAUUUUGUUUUAUUUUUAUUAUGUAUCAAAUACUCUUUACUAAUGCAAUUUAUCAUUUCUAUUUAUAUAUGUAGCUCAUUAUCCGAGAAAUUAAUUCUCAAAUUUGUGACAUGUAAGUUUUAUUUACAACAUUUUAUUGUUAUUUGUUGUUUUAUGUUAACGUAACACUUUAUCUUUUUUUUUUUUUCUCUUUUCUAAUCAUAGGCACCCCUUAUGCAAAGGAUGAUAUUUACAAAUAACGAAGUGGCAGCGGCGGUAGCAAAUUAUUUGCCCGAUGUACAUUUUUAUUUCACUGCGGAGGAUUAUCUCUUCAUCUCGUCAUGUCAAGUACGUUUUGUUUCGUAAAUUACUUAUCAAUUAAAUGUAUAUAUCAAUUUUCUAUUCUAAUGCACAUUUAAAUAUAUAAAAAUAUAGUAUAUCAUCCAAGUUGGAUACGUUUACGGAUCCUCGAGUAUUUUUGGACCUGUGUAUUUUCCACAUGAAAUUCCCGGAUAUUUAUAUGUUUAGUUGUAUAUUUUUUUAUAUAUUAUAUAAAUAAACUAUUAGUAACAUUA
rnacentral:sRNA from 1 species